UGUGUGCAAGGUGACCAGCUUCUAGCAGUGAGUGAGCCCCUGGAUACCAUUUCAACAAAAUCUACUGUUGCAUCUAUUUGUGCCACACUUCAAGCAAAUAUUGUAUGAAUAGCUCUUGAAUUGUUCCUGUAGUUCUCCUCAGCCUAUUCUAAAUUUAAUUGGAAGAUCUGGGGCUUUCUUUAGGCUGCACUAAUAUGGAGAACAUGAGUUUACACACUCCCAGGAAAAGUAGAGAAUCAACAUUUCUUGAAAUAGUGUUACCUAGUAACAGAAGACACAAGGCUCCCUCUUAUGAUCCAAUGAUUUUUACCACAAGGGAGAUGCCUCUGUGCAGACUAAGGUGCAAGUGAGACCAUACGCUGAAGUCAAUAGUGCAGAUUUUACUCCACAAGAAACGUGAGACAGAGAUAGAGAGAAAUAAAAAAGAAGGAGAGAGG
rnacentral:lncRNA from 1 species